AUUUACUUUUGUUGUCAAACAUAAAGCCAUUAUUUAAACUAUGGCGUGUGGCUUCAGUCUCUUGUGGAAAAUCAUCGUGAAAGGACGUGCGAUUGUAACCGGCUUCGAUUCAACACAAUUGCUUGACUAGUUGUCCAACUUCAAAGGCGGGAAAACUUUCAAUAUAGACGCCAUAUUUUUUCAAAGAGAACUUUGAUAUUUUGCUUGUGUACUCCUUAAAAUCGAUGGCCUCGAAAGAUGUCAUCGCGCAGAAAACGUAGCCGAUGCACGUAAUACGUAAUAGGGAUCCGUGGCGUAUUAAUAUAAUCCCAAAAGAGGGAGCGCGAUGGAAACUCCGUAACGGCGACAUCCACGAGAUCUUGGCGAGUGCAAUUAUCUCGUGGAUGAUAGCGGAGCCCACCGAAUGGCGGAACAUACGCAUACAAGUUCGCGGAGGCGGAACACAGGCGGCCCACCUCUGUCCUUCGCCCUUCGAUCCGCGCAGCAGAAUGAGAACGGGGGAGGGGGAGGAGGGCGGCUUUUGGGAGGAUUCCAAAGAGGCCAAGAGGAACGCGCGCCCUCGUAAUCCCGGCCGAGCGAUCCCGGAAUCCAGGAAUGCAAAUUCGACAGGAAUAUUAAACGGCCGAUAUUCUACAGUGGCCUUCCCCGGUAAUGCAUGGCCGUGUAUGCGCCGCGAUAUGGGGCUGUUGUGCCCCCGCGUGCUUUUGUUGGCAAAACGAAAAUGCGGUUGAACCGUGACCUCAUCGAUCGAAAACCGGACUGAAAUUGUUACUGCGAGACCGGACACACGCACAACUUUGCUGUAUGAACGAUUCUAUGAAUGGCGCGAUUUAUAAGAUUUUUAAUAUCCGUUUGCACUUUUAACGCAGAUGGAUGAUGAUCUCGUGAAGAGUGUACUGUAAAAAUAUUAUCCAAGCAUUGUCGAUGGAAUGUAGAAGAAAGUAUGUAGGAUCUGUAUACGCUUUUGUGAACAAUUCUAAAAUUUCUAAUAUCUACACUUUUAAUACAGAUGGAUAAUGAUCAACCUUUGGUGUCGCAAAGAGUACUGUAAAAAUAUUAUCCAAGCAUGUAGAAGAAAGUAUCUAAAAAGGGAUUUGUAUACGCGCUUUUGUGAAUGAUUUCUAAAAUUUCUAAUAUCCGUCUGCACUUUUAAUAUAAAUGGAUGAUGGCCAACCUCUGGUGUCGCAAAAAGUGUACUGUAAAAAUAUUAUCCAAACAUUGUCAAUGGAAUGUAGAAGAAAGUAUCUAAAAAGUAGGAUCUAUGUACGCGCUUUUGUGAACGAUUCUAAAAUUUCUAAUAUAAUAUCGUCUGCAUUUUUAAUACAGAUAGAUGAUGGCCAACCUCUGAUGUCGCGAAAAGUGUACUGUAAAAAUACGAUUCAAGCAUUGUCGAUGGAAUGUAGAAGAAAGUAUGUAGAAUCUGUGUACGCGUGUUUUUGUGAACGACGAUUUCUAAAAUUUCUAAUAUCCGUCUGCACUUUUAAUACAGAUGGAUGAUGGCCAACCUCUGUUAUAGCGAAGAGUGUACAAAAAUACCAUCCAAGCAUUGUCGAUGGAAUGUAGAAGAAAGUAUGUAGGAUCUGUGUACGCUUUUGUGAUUCCGUGAAUGGCACGACGAUUUCUAAAAUUUUUAAUAUCCUGCAAAUUUCUAAUAGUCUGCAUUUUUAAUAUAGAUGGAUGAUAGCCAACCUCUAGUGUCGCCAAGAGUGUACUGUAAUACGAUUCAAGCAUUGUCAAUGGAAUGUAGAAGAAAGUAUGUAGGAUCUAUGUACGUUUUUGUGAAUGACGAUUUCUAAAAUUUCUAAUAUCCAUCUGCACUUUUAAUACAGAUGGAUGAUGGCCAAUCUCUAUUAUAGCGAAGAGUGUACUGUAAAAAUAUUAUCCAAGCAUAUAGAAGAAAGUAUCUAAAAAGUAGGAUCUGUGUACAAUGCUUUUGUAAACGAUUCUAAAAUUUCUAAUAUCCAUCUGCACUUUUAAUACGGAUGGAUGAUGAUCUCUGGUGUCGCGAAGAGUGUACCGUAAAAAUACCAUCCAAGCAUUGUCGAUGGAAUAUAGAAGAAAGUAUGUAGGAUCUGUGUACGCAAUUUUGUGAACGAUUCCGUGAAUGACGCGACGAUUUCUAAAAUUUCUAAUAUCCGUCUGUACUUUUAACGAGUUCUCGAUGAUAGCGAAGAGUAUACUGUAAAAAUACCAUCCAAGCAUUGUCGAUGGAAUGUAAAAGUGUGUAGAAUCUGUGUAUGCGUUUUUGUGAAUAACGAUUUCUAAAAUUUAUAAUAUCCGUUUGCAUUUUUAACGCAGAUGGAUGAUAGCCAACCUCUGGUUUCGCGAAGAGUAUAAAAAAUACUAUCCAAGUAUCGAUGGAAUGAAGAAAGUAUCUAAAAAGUAGGAUCUGUGUACAAUGCUUUUGUGAACGAUUUUAAAAUUUCUAAUAUCCAUCUGCACUUUUAAUACAGAUGGAUGAUGAUCUCUGGUGUCACGAAGAGUGUACUGUAAAAAUAUUAUCCAAGCAUUGUCGAUGGAAUGUAGAAGAAAGUAGGAUCUGUGUAUGCGUUUUUGCGAACGAUUUCGUGAGUGGCGCGACGAUUUCUAUCGAAAAAUUUGCAUAUCCGUCUGCACUUUUAACGCGUUCUCGAUGAUAGCCAACUUCUGUUGCAGCGAGGAGUGUACUGUAAAAAUACCAUCCAAGCAUUGUCGACGGAAUGCAGAAUGUGGAAGUACGUAGGAUCUGUGUACGAAUAAACACGCAUUGGCGCGUUUCUCCGCGCUGUGUAAACCAUUCCGUCGAAUGGCGGAUGACGAUUCCAAUCGAAAAUUUGCAUACCAGUCCGCGCUCCUUUCUUCCAUUUUUCUUUUUUUCCCUUUAACGCGUCCUCGAUGAUGGCCAACAACCUGUGAUGUCGCGGACAAAUGUAAAAAUAUUGUCGAACCACUGCAGCGUUUCUGUACGAAAACGCGCGUGUCGAAUAACGCGCACUUCAUUUUCCUUUUUUUCCUUAACGCGUUCUCUCGUAUCGCGAAGAAACGUGUUAAAUUACGUAACUCGGAUAACUUCUCUAUCAUCCUUCGAACAGUGGUUCGAGACAGUACAACACACGUAUGGAUGGAUUUCUUCGAGUAUAUGAAUGUGUAAUUCGUCGAUCGUUAUCGAUAAAAGUAUCGUCAAUAGAGAAAGUAUAUAGUAGAAUCUCUGUACGUACGCGUGUAUCGAAUAAAAUAAUACUUCUUUUUUCCAAUGUCGCGAACAGUGUACUAAAUUACGUAACUUUAUUAUCCUUGAAUAGUGAUUUUGACAGAUAUACGGAUGGAUUUUUAUUAUCGACGCAUAAUUCGUCGAUUCCCUAAAAAUAUUAUCAAAAAUGGUGCAGAAAUAUCAAGGAUGAAGAAUACAUCUCUGUUGCAAGCGCAUAUGUCGAAUAACCACGCAUUUAAACGGUUCUUUACUGUUGUUAAACGAUUCCAAUUGAAAUAUUUCUUUUUUAACGCGGUGUCGCGAACUAGUGUACUAAAUUACGUAACUCUAUUAUCCUUGAAUAGUGAUUUCGACAGAUGGAUAUGGAUGGAUUUUUAUUAUCGACGCAUAAUUCGUCGAUUCCUUAAAAAUAUUACCAAAAAUGAAUGCAGAAAUAUCAAGGAUGGAGAAUGUAGGAUCUCUGUUGCAAGUGUGUCGAAUAGCACGCAUUUAAACGCUUCUUUACUGUUGUUAAACAAUUCCAAUCGAAAUAUUUUUUUUUUAACGCGUUCUCCAGUGUCACGAAUUAAAUUAGUAUACUAAAUUACGUAACACUGUCACCCUUGAACAGUGGUUUCGAUGGACGAUGGAUGGAU